ensembl:miRNA
CCGGGACUUUGCGGGUUUUGACCCCAUGUGGAUCACACCAACAACACUGGCCUUGAAGUCAGAACCCGCAAAGUCCUGG